UACGUAGGUGACAAGCGUUGUCCGGAUUUACUGGGCGUAAAGAGCGCGCAGGCGGCUGGUCAAGUCCGAUGUGAAAUCUCCCGGCUUAACUGGGAAACUGCAUCGGAAACUGAUCGGCUUGAAGGUGGGAGAGGGUAGUGGAAUUCCCGGUGUAGUGGUGAAAUGCGUAGAUAUCGGGAGGAACACCAGUGGCGAAGGCGACUACCUGGCCCAUUCUUGACGCUGAGGCGCGAAAGCUAGGGGAGCGAACGGG
rnacentral:rRNA from 1 species